rnacentral:rRNA from 1 species
UACGUAGGGGGCAAGCGUUGUCCGGAUCUAUUGGGCGUAAAGAGCGUGUAGGCGGCCAUACAGGUCAGCUGUGAAAACUCGAGGCUCAACCUCGAGACGUCGGUUGAAACCGUAUGGCUAGAGUCCGGAAGAGGAGAGUGGAAUUCCCGGUGUAGCGGUGAAAUGCGCAGAUAUCGGGAAGAACACCCGUGGCGAAGGCGGCUCUCUGGGACGGUACUGACGCUGAGACGCGAAAGCGUGGGGAGCAAACAGG